UCCCCGGUGCUGAAAUUGGUAGACAGGCAUGGUUGAGGGCCAUGUGUCUUAAGUGACGUGCAGGUUCGAGUCCCGUUCGGGGAA
rnacentral:tRNA from 1 species